AGUGAACGCUGGCGGUAGGCCUAACACAUGCAAGUCGAACGGCAGCACAGUAAGAGCUUGCUCUUACGGGUGGCGAGUGGCGGACGGGUGAGGAAUACAUCGGAAUCUACUUUUUCGUGGGGGAUAACGUAGGGAAACUUACGCUAAUACCGCAUACGACCUACGGGUGAAAGCAGGGGAUCUUCGGACCUUGCGCGAUUGAAUGAGCCGAUGUCGGAUUAGCUAGUUGGCGGGGUAAAGGCCCACCAAGGCGACGAUCCGUAGCUGGUCUGAGAGGAUGAUCAGCCACACUGGAACUGAGACACGGUCCAGACUCCUACGGGAGGCAGCAGUGGGGAAUAUUGGAACAUGGGCGCAAGCCUGAUCCAGCCAUACCGCGUGGGUGAAGAAGGCCUUCGGGUUGUAAAGCCCUUUUGUUGGGAAAGAAAAGCAGCAGGUUAAUACCCCGCUGUUCUGACGGUACCCAAAGAAUAAGCACCGGCUAACUUCGUG
rnacentral:rRNA from 1 species